UACGUAGGAUGCAAGCGUUGUCCGGAUUUAUUGGGUUUAAAGGGUGCGUAGGCGGUUUUAUAAGUCUCGACUGAAAGCUUGUUGCUCAACAAUAAGACUGGUUUAGAUACUGUAUAACUUGAAUUACAUUAAGGUAAAUGGAAUUUAUGAUGUAGCGGUGAAAUGCUCAGAUAUCAUAAGGAACGUCGAUUGCGUAGGCAUUUUACUAGGUGUAUAUUGACGCUGAGGCACGAAAGUCUGGGGAUCAAACAGG
rnacentral:rRNA from 1 species